rnacentral:rRNA from 1 species
AACGAACGCUGGCGGCAUGCCUAACACAUGCAAGUCGAACGAGACCUUCGGGUCUAGUGGCGCACGGGUGCGUAACGCGUGGGAACCUGCCUUUAGGUUCGGAAUAACUCAGAGAAAUUUGAGCUAAUACCGGAUGAUGUCUUCGGACCAAAGAUUUAUCGCCUUUAGAUGGGCCCGCGUUGGAUUAGCUAGUUGGUGGGGUAAAGGCCUACCAAGGCGACGAUCCAUAGCUGGUCUGAGAGGAUGAUCAGCCACACUGGGACUGAGACACGGCCCAGACUCCUACGGGGGGCGGCGGUGGGGAAAAUUGGACAAUGGGCAAAAGCCGAAUCCAGCAAUGCCGCGUAGGGGUUGAAGGCCUAAGGUUUGUAAAGCUCUUUACCCGAGAUGAUAAUGACAGUAUCGGGAGAAUAAGCUCCGGCUAACUCCGU